rnacentral:rRNA from 1 species
GACGAACGCUGGCGGCGUGCUUAACACAUGCAAGUCGAACGGAAAGGCCCUUCGGGGUACUCGAGUGGCGAACGGGUGAGUAACACGUGGGUGAUCUGCCCUGCACUUUGGGAUAAGCCUGGGAAACUGGGUCUAAUACCGAAUAGGACCACGCGCUUCAUGGUGUGUGGUGGAAAGCUUUUGCGGUGUGGGAUGGGCCCGCGGCCUAUCAGCUUGUUGGUGGGGUAAUGGCCUGCCAAGGCGACGACGGGUAGCCGGCCUGAGGGGGUGACCGGCCACAGUGGGAGUGAGGUACGGCCCAGGCCCCCAGGGGGGGGAGGAGGGGGAAAAUUGGCAAAAAGGGCGAAAGCCGGAGAAAGGGGCGCGGGGUGGGGGUGGGAGGCUUUUGGGGUGUAACCCUCUUUAAAGGGGGGCGAGGCGCAAGGGAGGGAACCUAUGAAAAAAGCCCGGGCCAACUAGUG